rnacentral:rRNA from 1 species
AACCCCUACCGUUUAGUUGCUAAACGCGUGAAGGCGAGCACUCUAGACGAACUGCCGUUGACAAAACGGAGGAAGGUGGGGAUGACGUCAAAUCAUCAUGCCCCUUAUGUUCUGGGCUACACACGUGCUACAAUGGCCGGUACAGACGGACGCAAAGCCGCGAGGUGGAGCAAAUCCUAAAAAGCCGGUCUCAGUUCGGAUUGCAGGCUGCAAUUCGCCUGCAUGAAGUCGGAAUCGCUAGUAAUCGCAGGUCAGCAUACUGCGGUGAAUACGUUCCCGGGCCUU